rnacentral:rRNA from 1 species
AUUAGAUACCCGGGUAGUCCCAGCUGUAAACGAUGCGCGUUAGGUGUGUCAGUGACCACGUGUCACUGAGGUGCCGAAGGGAAACCGUGAAACGCGCCGCCUGGGGAGUACGGUCGCAGGGCUGAAACUUAAAGGAGUUGGCGGGGGAGCACCACAACGGGUGGAGCCUGCGGUUUAAUCGGACUCAACGCCGGAAAUCUCACCGGAUAAGACAGCUGCAUGAUAGUCGGGAUGAAGACUCUACUUGACUAGCUGAGAGGUGGUGCAUGGC